AUGUAGGGAUACAAGCCACUAA
rnacentral:miRNA from 8 species